AUUGAACGCUGGCGGCAGGCCUAAGACAUGCAAGUCGAGCGAGAAAGCCCUUCGGGGUGAGUACAGCGGCGGACGGGUGAGUAACGCGUAGGAAUCUACCCAGUAGUGGGGGACAACUAGUGGAAACGCUAGCUAAUACCGCAUACGCCCUAAGGGGGAAAGCGGGGGAUCUUCGGACCUCGUGCUAUUGGAUGAGCCUGCGUAAGAUUAGCUUGUUGGUGAGGUAAUGGCUCACCAAGGCUACGAUCUUUAGCUGGUCUGAGAGGAUGAUCAGCCACACCGGGACUGAGACACGGCCCGGACUCCUACGGGAGGCAGCAGUCGGGAAUAUUGCGCAAUGGGGGAAACCCUGACGCAGCCAUGCCGCGUGUGUGAAGAAGGCCCUAGGGUUGUAAAGCACUUUCAAUUGGGAGGAAAAGCUAAUGGUUAAUAGCCAUUAGCCCUGACGUUACCUUUAGAAGAAGCACCGGCUAACUCCGUGCCAGCAGCCGCGGUAAUACGGAGGGUGCAAGCGUUAAUCGGAAUUACUGGGCGUAAAGCGCGCGUAGGCGGCUCUUUAAGUCGGAUGUGAAAGCCCCGGGCUCAACCUGGGAACUGCAUCCGAUACUGGAGGGCUAGAGUGUAGGAGAGGGAGGUAGAAUUCCAUGUGUAGCAGUGAAAUGCGUAGAUAUAUGGAGGAAUACCAGUGGCGAAGGCGGCCUCCUGGCUUAACACUGACGCUGAGGUGCGAAAGCGUGGGGAGCAAACGGGAUUAGAUACCCGGGUAGUCCACGCCGUAAACGAUGUCUACUAGCUGUAGGGGUACUUGAGACCUUUGUAGCGCAGCUAACGCACUAAGUAGACCGCCUGGGGAGUACGGCCGCAAGGUUAAAACUCAAAUGAAUUGACGGGGGCCCGCACAAGCAGUGGAGCAUGUGGUUUAAUUCGAUGCAACGCGAAGAACCUUACCAGGCCUUGACAUCCCCGGAACUUUCUAGAGAUAGAUUGGUGCCUUCGGGAACCGGGUGACAGGUGCUGCAUGGCUGUCGUCAGCUCGUGUCGUGAGAUGUUGGGUUAAGUCCCGUAACGAGCGCAACCCUUGUCCUUAGUUGCCAGCACAUAAUGGUGGGAACUCUAAGGAGACUGCCGGUGACAAACCGGAGGAAGGUGGGGACGACGUCAAGUCAUCAUGGCCCUUACGGCCUGGGCUACACACGUGCUACAAUGGCUAGGACAGACGGCUGCAAACCAGCGAUGGGGAGCUAAUCCGACAAACCUAGUCGUAGUCCGGAUUGGAGUCUGCAACUCGACUCCAUGAAGUCGGAAUUGCUAGUAAUCGCGAAUCAGAAUGUCGCGGUGAAUACGUUCCCGGGCCUUGUACACACCGCCCGUCACACCAUGGGAGUGGGUUGCUCCAGAAGUGGUUAGUCUAACCUUCGGGAGGACGAUCACCACGGAGUGAUUCAUGACUGGGGUGAAGUCGUAACAAGGUAGCCCUAGGGGAACCGUGGGGCUGGAUCACCUCCUUA
rnacentral:rRNA from 1 species